UACGUAGGUCCCGAGCGUUGUCCGGAUUUAUUGGGCGUAAAGCGAGCGCAGGUGGUUUAUUAAGUCUGGUGUAAAAGGCAGUGGCUCAACCAUUGUAUGCAUUGGAAACUGGUAGACUUGAGUGCAGGAGAGGAGAGUAGAAUUCCAUGUGUAGCGGUGAAAUGCAUAGAUAUAUGGAGGAACACCGGUGGCGAAAGCGGCUCUCUGGCCUGUAACUGACACUGAGGCUCGAAAGCGUGGGGAGCAAACAGG
rnacentral:rRNA from 1 species